rnacentral:rRNA from 1 species
CCAGACUCCUACGGGAGGCAGCAGUGGGGAAUAUUGCACAAUGGGGGAAACCCUGAUGCAGCGACGCCGCGUGGGCGAGGAAGUACCUCGGUAUGUAAAGCCCUAUCAGCAGGAACGAGACAAGACGGUACCUGACUAAGAAGCCCCGGCUAACUACGUGCCAGCAGCCGCGGUAAUACGGAGGAUGCGAGCGUUAUCCGGAUUUAUUGGGUUUAAAGGGUGCGCAGGCGGAAGAUCAAGUCAGCGGUAAAAUUGAGAGGCUCAACCUCUUCGAGCCGUUGAAACUGGUUUUCUUGAGUGAGCGAGAAGUAUGCGGAAUGCGUGGUGUAGCGGUGAAAUGCAUAGAUAUCACGCAGAACUCCGAUUGCGAAGGCAGCAUACCGGCGCUCAACUGACGCUCAUGCACGAAAGUGUGGGUAUCGAACAGGAUUAGAUACCCCGGUAG